CUCCUGCUGCUGCUGCUGCUGCUGCUGCUAUUCAAGACACCCCAGGCUUUCUGUCUUCAAAAAUGUAGAUGCUGUAAAAGUUAUUUCUCAAACAGCACAGGAAAAAGUGGUAGCCACCCCUUGAUAGGACCAAGUGUCAGCGUGGUUGAAGGAGACACCAAUGGGCGAGAGAACACGGACGGGAGUUCAGAGUCUGUGAGCCUCCACAUUGAGAGUAGCUGAUGAGUUCAGCAACGCUGGAACAAGUACUUCUCACACAUCCCAUGAUGAAGAGGGAAGGUGUAUUUUGUCUCAGAGUUUUCAGAGUUCCAGUCUGUGUGUUCGACCUAAGUUUGCGAUGAAGCCAGAGCAUAAUGGCAGGAGCAUGUGGCACAGUGUGGCCAGAAGGCAGAAAAGAAGAUGAAAAGACUGAGCCCAGGAUCUCUGUCUAGAGCACACUGCUAGUGCACUGAAGACCAGCCUCCAACUCUUAGAGUUUCCAGUGUCUUCCAUGGUGCUGAACUGAGGACCAAGACUUUGACACACGGGUAUUGAGGCCAAACAGCUGCCAACAUAUCAUCCACCCUGGUGGGCAGCCUGGACAAGAUCUAAGGACCACCAGAGGGUCGGUGCUUGUCACUUGCUUGCUGCCUUCUGCCCAGCUUUGCCAAGGAGUGUUUGUGCUGACCUCCCUUGGAACCAGCUGGCCAACUGGCUGUUAAGAGGAAAAAAUAAAUUAAAAAAAAAUUUUAAA